rnacentral:lncRNA from 1 species
GCGGUUAAGAAGUUAACAAAAGAAGAAGCUGAAAACAGAGUAAAAACAGACACAUGCACGUGUGAGGGAAGCUGCCAAACCGACCCAACUACAGACCCAAAAACCCGACCCGGAAUCCACGACCUUGACCCGACAAUAUCUCCCUUUUGCGGCCACCCUUUCGGUCGCACUUGGUACCAAUCUGAAGCUUAGAAGCCAACCGUCGUUCCCCUGCCAUCCUCGCCACCGAAAACCAACCGGAACGCCAGUGAUCAAAGCUUGAACCUGCGACUGUUUCACUUUACUCCCGCCGGGAUUUUCGCCGGUUUUGGGUGACACCACCGGUUGGAUCUUGUUCCCCACGACUCCCUCUUCCAUUUCCGACCAUCUAUAGGCACCGAGAGUCACUGUUUUGCCGCCGGUCGAUUGUUGGAAUUCACGGCUGCCGAGCUCGAUUCCGGCGCCGUUGCCCGCGCGUUGGAGCUCACCGUCGGUACCAUUGAACUCAGCGUGAUUGGAACUUUCAGAUUUGAGCUUCCUAGCCAGCGUUGACCAAAUUCCGGUGACCGUUGACCGUUGACCAAGAUAUAGAUGCUUCUGUUAGGAUAUUUUGGUCAUCUUGUUCUUUUGUGAUUGUAAACUUUUGUUAUAUUAUUCUUUUGGGAUUAUAAUAUUA